UGUCUAUCACAGCUCCACUCCUCCCAUUAGCUCUGAUGUUAAAUUGCUCUUGUGUGAUUGUGUCAUCAGGCUCUCCCUUCCUUUUCUCUUGGGUGACUGAUAUGACCUUUAGGUACACCGACUGACAAUUACUGUCACCGAGAAAUUGAAUUAUUAGCUUUCUCUGCCAACGGAGCCGCGGGUAGGUGGUUGGUAGUUGAGAGUAAAAUGCUGUAAUUACUUAGCUAAAUUGCCAUAUUAUAUUUUUUUGCCACUCCUUUUCCUUUUCCAUUCUUUCUCGUAUGUGAUAUAAAAGCAGGGUAAAAGAGGGAAAAGAAAGGUGUUGAGCUGUGAAGCUGAUGAAAGAAUGAUUUUGAAUGUCCCCUGUAACCCUUUCAGGUGUUGAUUGUCAAUAGGAGCAAUUUGGAGAUGUGUAAGGAGGGGCCAGAGGGAAAAGGUCACACUAUGCCCCCCACCUUCCUUCCCUUUUUUUUUUUUUUGUCUUUUUGGUUGUUGGUCAGCAUGACUUUCUCUCUUUUUCAUUCUCUCUCAGCCUCUCUCUCUCCGCCAAACAGCCAACAAUUGAUUUGACCCCAGUCUUUCUGUUCUCCAGCCCCCCUCUUUAUCACACGCAACACUUGCACAUACACAUCCCAGACUGGUCAGGCUGAACAUAAUUAUUUUUUUCCUCCUCUCCAGUCCUGAGCCAGCAAGUGGUUUCCUUUGCUUAGCAGCUUGUAUCACAGCCUGUCAGAUCUCACACUUUGAUUACAGUAUCUAGCUAUUUAGCAAAGCCUAAACUGUGCUUUUGUUAAUUAACUAGCAUUUGAGGAGGAUUGAUGACUGCGAGGGCCUUCAGAGGUCACUUGGCUUCCUGAGAAAGUGAGAGGAAGACAAUGUGGCGGUUUAAAAUGCAGAAAGAGCAUAGUAGUAUCUAAGAUAGCACAAGAGGAGAGAAAAAAGCAUGCAUCUGCAUCUGUAUUAACCUUUUCAUCUCUUCUUCAAAUACACUAAAUACACACAUUGUCAGUUUCACGAGGAACAAAUACUGGCUUCUUAUUUUCUUCAUUGUUAGAAGGCGUUUAUAUUUGACAAUUAAUGCAAGUAUUAUCUGUAUUUCUUUAUAGGCUACUAAAUGCGACUAAUGGUUACAGUUUAAAUGACAGCUAUCAAAACACAAAAACGUCUCUCUGUGUUUGGCAAAAAUUCUAAUAAAUGUAAUCACUAAAUACGAUUGAUUGACUUUUAUACAUUUACAUUAAGACGUAUUCUAUAUUAAAUUACUCCUUAAUUGUUGAAGUGGUCUUCAGGAG
ensembl:lncRNA